GAUGAACGCUGGCGGCGUGCCUAAUACAUGCAAGUCGAGCGAACAGACGAGGAGCUUGCUCCUUUGACGUUAGCGGCGGACGGGUGAGUAACACGUAGGUCACCUACUUAUAAGACUGGGAUAACUUCGGGAAACCGGAGCUAAUACCGGCUAAUAUUUCGAACCGCAUGGUUCGAUAGUGAAAGAUGCCUUUGCCAUCACUAAUAGAUGGACCUGCGCCGUAUUAGCUAGUUGGUAAGGUAACGGCUUACCAAGGCAACGAUACGUAGCCGACCUGAGAGGGUGAUCGGCCACACUGGAACUGAGACACGGUCCAGACUCCUACGGGAGGCAGCAGUAGGGAAUCUUCCGCAAUGGGCGAAAGCCUGAUGGAGCAACGCCGCGUGAGUGAUGAAGGUCUUCGGAUCGUAAAACUCUGUUAUUAGGAAAGAACAAACGUAUAAGUAACUGUGGACGUCUUGACGGUACCUAAUCAGAAAGCCACGGCUAACUACGUG
rnacentral:rRNA from 1 species